rnacentral:rRNA from 1 species
GACGAACGCUGGCGGCGUGCCUAAUACAUGCAAGUCGAGCGGACGGAUGGGAGCUUGCUCCCAGACCGUCAGCGGCGGACGGGUGAGUAACACGUGGGCAACCUGCCUGUAAGCCUGGGAUAACUCCGGGAAACCGGGGCUAAUACCGGAUAACUCUUUCCCUCACAUGAGGGAAAGCUGAAAGAUGGCAUCUCGCUAUCACUUACAGAUGGGCCCGCGGCGCAUUAGCUAGUUGGUGAGGUAACGGCUCACCAAGGCGACGAUGCGUAGCCGACCUGGGAGGGUGAUCGGCCACACUGGGACUGAGACACGGCCCAGACUCCUACGGGAGGCAGCAGUAGGGAAUCUUCCGCAAUGGACGAAAGUCUGACGGAGCAACGCCGCGUGAGUGAUGAAGGUGUUCGGAUCGUAAAACUCUGUUGUCAGGGAAGAACAAGUACCGGAGUAACUGCCGGUACCUUGACGGUACCUGACCAGAAAGCCACGGCUAACUACGUG